rnacentral:rRNA from 1 species
GCUAGCUACAGGCUUAACACAUGCAAGUCGAGGGGAAACGACAUCGAAAGCUUGCUUUUGAUGGGCGUCGACCGGCGCACGGGUGAGUAACGCGUAUCCAACCUGCCCACCACUUGGGGAUAACCUUGCGAAAGUAAGACUAAUACCCAAUGACGUCUCUAGAAGACAUCUGAAGGAGAUUAAAGAUUUAUCGGUGAUGGAUGGGGAUGCGUCUGAUUAGCUUGUUGGCGGGGUAACGGCCCACCAAGGCGACGAUCAGUAGGGGUUCUGAGAGGAAGGUCCCCCACAUUGGAACUGAGACACGGUCCAAACUCCUACGGGAGGCAGCAGUGAGGAAUAUUGGUCAAUGGGCGAGAGCCUGAACCAGCCAAGUAGCGUGCAGGAUGACGGCCCUAUGGGUUGUAAACUGCUUUUAUAAGGGAAUAAAGUGAGUCUCGUGAGACUUUUUGCAUGUACCUUAUGAAUAAGGACCGGCUAAUUCCGUGCCAGCAGCCGCGGUAAUACGGAAGGUCCGGGCGUUAUCCGGAUUUAUUGGGUUUAAAGGGAGCGUAGGCCGGAGAUUAAGCGUGUUGUGAAAUGUAGACGCUCAACGUCUGCACUGCAGCGCGAACUGGUUUCCUUGAGUACGCACAAAGUGGGCGGAAUUCGUGGUGUAGCGGUGAAAUGCUUAGAUAUCACGAAGAACUCCGAUUGCGAAGGCAGCUCACUGGAGCGCAACUGACGCUGAAGCUCGAAAGUGCGGGUAUCGAACAGGAUUAGAUACCCUGGUAGUCCGCACGGUAAACGAUGGAUGCCCGCUGUUGGUCUGAAUAGGUCAGCGGCCAAGCGAAAGCAUUAAGCAUCCCACCUGGGGAGUACGCCGGCAACGGUGAAACUCAAAGGAAUUGACGGAAGG